rnacentral:rRNA from 1 species
ACGAACGCUGGCGGCGUGCUUAACACAUGCCAGUCGCACGGAAAGGCCUCUUUCGGGGGGUACUCGAGUGGCGAACGGGUGAGUAACACGUGAGUAACCUGCCCUUGACUUUGGGAUAACUUCAGGAAACUGGGGCUAAUACCGGAUAGGAGCUCCUGCUGCAUGGUGGGGGUUGGAAAGUUUCGGCGGUUGGGGAUGGACUCGCGGCUUAUCAGCUUGUUGGUGGGGUAGUGGCUUACCAAGGCUUUGACGGGUAGCCGGCCUGAGAGGGUGACCGGCCACAUUGGGACUGAGAUACGGCCCAGACUCCUACGGGAGGCAGCAGUGGGGAAUAUUGCACAAUGGGUGGAAGCCUGAUGCAGCAACGCCGUGUGCGGGAUGACGGCCUUCGGGUUGUAAACCGCUUUCGCUCAUGACGAAGCUUUGUGUGACGGUAGUGGGUAAAGAAGCACCGGCUAACUACGUG